UGCAUAUACAUCAUUCCUGCUCCUUGAAGGUAUCAAGGCAACAAAAUUGUCUUGGGUAUCUAUGAAGUGUGCUCAACAAACGGGAGGAGAUGAAUGCGGCUAUUUCGUUAUGAAAUACAUGUUUCAAAUCGUCCGCUUCCUCUAUCAGGCAAAUGAUUUGAAGAAGGAUUUUCCUAAAAGCGUUGAACCAUACACCAUAGAAGAUAUCAACGAAAUCAAAGAUAAUUUUGCGCGAUUCUUUCAACAUCUCGUGGGAGAAGAAAGGGCCAAGUAGUGUUAGUGUAGUAAGUGUAGUAGAUGUACAUAAUUGCUUUAUUAUUGCAACUUUGGUUGAGUAUAUGGCAACAUUGGUUUGCUUGCUUGGGAUUAUUUGAGAUGUAUUGAAACAGGUUUUGAUAUAUAUAUAUAUAUUCCCAACGAUUUCUUGGGUUAUCCAUAUUACAAAGGAGACUCUGCCGAGUUUUCCCCUCACAAUUAUUAAUAUGAAUGUUUGUUUAGUUUUGAAUCAUCGAAUAUUAGUAAUAUGUAAACAAACCAACAGAAAAUCUGAAAAAAUCGAAAAAAAAAUAAUUUUAUGAGCAAUUUGCGUCGCACAUGGCACUAAGUGCGACGCAAAUUACACACAAUGUGCGUCGCACCUUGGCCAUGUGCGACGC